rnacentral:rRNA from 1 species
UACGAAGGGGGCUAGCGUUGCUCGGAAUCACUGGGCGUAAAGCGCACGUAGGCGGAUUUGUAAGUCAGGGGUGAAAUCCCGGGGCUCAACCCCGGAACUGCCUUUGAUACUGCGAAUCUCGAGUCCGGAAGAGGUGAGUGGAAUUCCUAGUGUAGAGGUGAAAUUCGUAGAUAUUAGGAAGAACACCAGUGGCGAAGGCGGCUCACUGGUCCGGUACUGACGCUGAGGUGCGAAAGCGUGGGGAGCAAACAGG